AGAGCCACUUUGCAUCAGCAGCACCAUGCUCCAGUGCUCUGGGAGACUUUAUAGUCCUGAGAGUUGAACACUGGAUGACUGACAGCUGUCCUUCAUCACAACAGAAGACACAGAAAUCCUCCUCAUCAAAAACAUGACUUUGAUCUCCGUCCUCAUCUGGACUCUCCUCUGCUGCUGCUUCACAGAGUCCAGAGGACAGGUCACAGUGACUCAGCCUGGAGCAGUGAUCUCUGCUCUGGGACGCUCCGUCUCCAUCAGCUGUAGGACCAGUCAGCAGGUUCCACGCUGUAGCAGUGCUUACUGUUUAAGCUGGUACCAACAGAAAUAUGGAGAAAGUCCUAAAUUACUCAUUCGUUAUACCAAUCAGAGAAUAUCAGGGACUCCAGAUCGUUUUACAGGCAGUGGAUCAAACUCUGACUUCACUCUGACCAUCAGUGGAGUCCAGGCUGAAGAUGCAGCAGUUUACUACUGUCAGAGUUAUCACUACAUCAACAGUCAGUACGUGUUCACACAGUGAAAAAGCGUCGUACAAA